UACGGAGGGUGCAAGCGUUAUCCGGAUUCACUGGGUUUAAAGGGUGCGUAGGCGGCUUUUUAAGUCAGCGGUGAAAGCUCCAUGCUUAACAUGGAAAUUGCCAUUGAUACUGAAGAGCUUGAGUACACUUGAAGUGGGCGGAAUAUGUCAUGUAGAGGUGAAAUUCUUAGAGAAUGACAUAGAACACCGAUUGCGAAGGCAGCUCACUAAAUUGUAACUGACGCUGAGGCACGAAAGCGUGGGGAUCAAACAGG
rnacentral:rRNA from 1 species